rnacentral:rRNA from 1 species
UCGAGCGGACAGAUGGGAGCUUGCUCCCUGAUAGAUUAGCGGCGGACGGGUGAGUAACACGUGGGUAACCUGCCUGUAAGACUGGGAUAACUCCGGGAAACCGGGGCUAAUACCGGAUGGUUGUCUGAACCGCAUGGUUCAGACAUAAAAGGUGGCUUCGGCUACCACUUACAGAUGGACCCGCGGCGCAUUAGCUAGUUGGUGAGGUAACGGCUCACCAAGGCGACGAUGCGUAGCCGACCUGAGAGGGUGAUCGGCCACACUGGGACUGAGACACGGCCCAGACUCCUACGGGAGGCAGCAGUAGGGAAUCUUCCGCAAUGGACGAAAGUCUGACGGAGCAACGCCGCGUGAGUGAUGAAGGUUUUCGGAUCGUAAAGCUCUGUUGUUAGGGAAGAACAAGUGCCGUUCAAAUAGGGCGGCACCUUGACGGUACCUAACCAGAAAGCCACGGCUAACUACGUGCCAGCAGCCGCGGUAAUACGUAGGUGGCAAGCGUUGUCCGGAAUUAUUGGGCGUAAAGGGCUCGCAGGCGGUUUCUUAAGUCUGAUGUGAAAGCCCCCGGCUCAACCGGGGAGGGUCAUUGGAAACUGGGGAACUUGAGUGCAGAAGAGGAGAGUGGAAUUCCACGUGUAGCGGUGAAAUGCGUAGAGAUGUGGAGGAACACCAGUGGCGAAGGCGACUCUCUGGUCUGUAACUGACGCUGAGGAGCGAAAGCGUGGGGAGCGAACAGGAUUAGAUACCCUGGUAGUCCACGCCGUAAACGAUGAGUGCUAAGUGUUAGGGGGUUUCCGCCCCUUAGUGCUGCAGCUAACGCAUUAAGCACUCCGCCUGGGGAGUACGGUCGCAAGACUGA